rnacentral:lncRNA from 1 species
AUGAGGGAGCAGGAAUUCCAUUUUCCUCACUUCUAUGAUUGCUCGGGAAUUCGCCUGGAGGAGGAAGCAGGAUCUGGAAGGUCUCAGGAGAUCUUGCCCUUGCAGAUGGCCUACGCUCUUCCUCCUGUGGUGGUUCACGCCUGGAGCAUCUCCCAGUUGGCACCUGGAUGUGCUCUGGUGUGCACCCGCGUCUCCUUCACACAGCCUCUAGGAGCCUGGAGAUUGCAAGCCUCACCCUGUGCUGUCAUCAUGGGCCAGAGCCCAGACCCCUGGCUCAGCGCGCAAGUACUCUCCCUGCCCAGGCUCUACUCUCUUUCCUUCUUUCCCUCCCUACUCUCCCUGCCCAGAGGGAAACACCAUCUGCAGUUCCCUGCCCUCAUCUCACUAGGCCCUUCCUUUCCUUCCUUCCCUCCUUCCUUUCCUUCCCUUCCUUCCUUUCCUUCCUUCCCUUCCUUCCUUCCCUCCUUUCCUUCCUUCCUUCCUUCCUCUUCCUUUCCUUCUUUCCCUUCCUUCUUUCCUUCCUUUCGUUCCUCCCCUCCUCUUCCUUUCCUUCUUUUCCUUCCUUCCUUCCCUCUUUCCUUUCCAUUCCUUUCCUUCCUUCCCUCCUUUCCUUUCCUUCCUUCCCUCCUUCCUUUCCUUUCCUUCCUUUCCUUCCUCCCCUCCCUUCCUUCGUUCCCUCCUUCUUUUUCCUUCCUUCCCUCCUUCCUUCUUUUCCUUCCUUCCCUCCUUCCUCCUUUCUUUCCUUUCCUUUCCUUUCCUUUCCUUUCCUUUCCUUUCCUUUCCUUUCCUUUCCUUUCCUUUCCUUUCCUUUCCUUUCCUUUCCUUUCCUUCUUUCCUUUCCCUUCCUUUCCUUCCUUCCCCUCCUCCCCUCCUUUCCCUCCUUCCCUCAUUCUCUUUCCUUCCUUCCCUCCUUCCUUCCUUUCCUUCCUUCCCUCCUCUUCCCUCCCUCCCUCCCUCCCUCCCUCCCUCCCUCCCUUCCUUCCUUCCUUCCUUCCUUCCUUCCUUCCUUCCAUCCUUCCUUCCUUCCUUCCUUCCCUCCCUCCUAUUUCUUCUCCCCUCCCCUGUGAUCCCCUCCUUUCCCUUCCUUCUUUUCUUGGUACUCUUGUGCAGGAUUCAAGUACUAAGUGCCUGGCGACCUCUUCACCUAGAGCAACGCUGCCAUGCAGCUAA